GAUAAAAUGGCUGAGUUCAGGUAUUAAAUUGUAAAUUUAACUAGGAAUGUAAAUAUUCUUUUAUCAAAA
rnacentral:tRNA from 1 species